UACGAAGGGGGCUAGCGUUGUUCGGAUUUACUGGGCGUAAAGGGUGCGUAGGCGGUGCGAUAAGUCAGGCGUGAAAGCCCCGGGCUCAACCCGGGAAUAGCGCUUGAUACUGUUGCGCUUGAAUCCAGGAGAGGAUGGCGGAAUUCCCAGUGUAGAGGUGAAAUUCGUAGAUAUUGGGAAGAACACCAGUGGCGAAGGCGGCCAUCUGGCCUGGAAUUGACGCUGAGGCGCGAAAAGCGUGGGGAGCAAACAGG
rnacentral:rRNA from 1 species